rnacentral:rRNA from 1 species
UACGGGGGGGGCAAGCGUUGUCCGGAAUCAUUGGGCGUAAAGAGCGUGUAGGCGGCCAGAAAAGUCCGCUGUGAAAACUCGAGGCUCAACCUCGAGACGUCGGCGGAAACCAUCUGGCUAGGGUCCGGAAGAGGAGAGUGGAAUUCCUGGUGUAGCGGUGAAAUGCGCAGAUAUCAGGAAGAACACCCGUGGCGAAGGCGGCUCUCUGGGACGGUACUGACGCUGAGACGCGAAAGCGUGGGGAGCGAACAGG